GGGGCUUGGCCCUUUAUAGACCUACGAUGUAAUAAUACCCUAACCACAUACCCACCAUACGACUGGAAUCACACAUACACUGCCACAAGAGGUCUGCAGUGAAGGUCCCAAAGUCCCAGACAAGUCCCCUCUUGUUGCCCAGGCUGGAGUGCAGCAGCAUGAUUACAGCUCACAUCAGCCUCGACCUCCCGGGCUCAAGCUAUCCUCCUACCUCAGCCUCCCAAGUAGCUGGGACUAUAGAUAAGACUGAAAGCAACACCAGCCAGUCUUGGGAAAUAUAAAGUCACAAAUAAAUUUUGAUAAUUUUUCAUUUCGUAAAGGAUCUUUCUGCUGAUGCAGCUGUUAAGAGUGUUUCAUAAACUGUGACAACACUAAGCAAAAUCAUAGAAGGAAACUCUAUGGACAAUUUCAGAUGGAGAAGAAGAAAGGACUGGAAGUUCAAUUUGGCCAUGACAAUUAGAGGCCAGGUGCAGUGCAUGUAAUCCCAGCACUUUGGGAGACUGAGAUGGGAAGAUCGCUUGAGGCCAGGAGUGCAAGACCAGCCUGGGCAACACAGCAAGACCUUGAUUCUACUAAAAAAAAAAAAGGAUCCUUCAACUUCAACAAUAAUAACACAAGGGAAGUGAAGAAAAACACUUUCUAAGGAAAUCUCUCUCUGAGCUACCAUCCUGCUAGGGAGAGCCUGAAAGCAGAAUGCUGACUUGACUAGCUCUGGUCAAUGAAAGAAAUCACCAGUGGAAAGGCUACCAGGGGGCUUUCUCAAAAGAGAGGGACAGUAAACUGCAAGAUGAACAACUCAAUGCCAUCCAGGUCUGGAUGAGAAAGAACAGUCGAGAGACUGAGUUUCAGGAGUGGAAACACUCAAAGCAUCAUCUUCCACUUUCUUCUCCGGCUGCUAGGAAGAAGGGAAAAACACAGACCUUCUGAGGACCUGCGGAGCAAACCACUGGCUUCAGAAAAGCAAACAGGGACUUCCCUCUGCGCAGCAGGAAGCAGUUAGCCUAGUCGGAGGCUUGACUGAAGAAACAAAUGAGGGAAGGCAGAAGUUGAGACGCAGCCAGUAGAGGAAACUCCGGGAGAGGCAGGCAGCGUCACUUGAAGAAAAGCUCUAUUGUGAUGGGAACAAUCACAGGAACUAAGCGGCAACAAAAUGGCUCCCCACCCCCUCUGCAAAUCCCAACUCCAUGCAAGCACUCUCCCUUCCCUCAUUUUCUUUUCUUUUUUUUUGAGAUGGAGUCUCGCUCUGUUGCCCAGGCUGGAGUGCAGUAGCGCGAUCUCGGCUCACUGCAACCUCCACCUUCUGGUUUCAAGCAAUUCUCCUGCCUCAGCCUCCCCAGUAGCUGGGACUACAGGCGUGUGCCACCACGCCUGGCUAAUUUUUUUUUUUAAUUUUUAGUAGAGACAGAGUUUCACCAUGUUGGCCAGGCUGGUCUCGAACUCCUGGCCUCAAGUGAUCCACCUGCCUCAGCCUCCCAAAGUGGUGGGAUUACAGGUGUAAGCGACCACGCCCGGCCUUUUAAAAUCGACUUGAGUCUCAUCUCCUGAAAUGCAAAAUGCAUUGGGCCUGUCUCUUACUUCUGCAUGUCUCAUAAUGCUUAGCACAGCACAAGCCCCGAGAGCGCAUCAUACACCCUGGGGUGGGGAGCUCCUGGCAGGGCUGGAUCCACUCACCAUUCCUGCCAUCCAUUGGCACUUGGCUCAGCACAGUUAGGCCAACAAGGACAUAAUAGACAAGUCCAAAACAGUACUGCACGACGUGAAUCAUGACAUUGGAGAAGACACUGACGUAGAGGCACUCGAAGAGUCUUCGUAAGCUGUGCAGCCACAGAAAUACUAGCACUAAGAAUGCAGACAGUGCCAGCUCCCCUCCUACAAUUCAGAAGGCAACAGGGUCAGCAUUUCUCUUCUGGGAUUAAUCCAAAGUUUUGUUUUUCUGUACUGUUAAGCAAAGUAUUAAAUCCCAUCUAACAUC
rnacentral:lncRNA from 1 species